rnacentral:rRNA from 1 species
AUUGGGCCCGACCGGGUGAGUAACGCGUGGGAAUCUACCCUUUUCUACGGAAUAACGCAGGGAAACUUGUGCUAAUACCGUAUGAGCCCUUCGGGGGAAAGAUUUAUCGGGAAAGGAUGAGCCCGCGUUGGAUUAGCUAGUUGGUGGGGUAAAGGCCUACCAAGGCUCCGAUCGGUAGCUGGUCUGAGAGGAUGAUCAGCCACACUGGGACUGAGACACGGCCCAGACUCCUACGGGAGGCAGCAGUGGGGAAUAUUGGACAAUGGGCGAAAGCCUGAUCCAGCAAUGCCGCGUGUGUGAAGAAGGUCUUCGGAUUGUAAAGCACUUUCGACGGGGACGAUGAUGACGGUACCCGUAGAAGAAGCCCCGGCUAACUUCGUGCCAGCAGCCGCGGUAAUA